UAGUAGGGGCUUCAGAACCUGCAAAAAGCCCCAAGUAUGUGGCUCGGAAUAAUGUCUAUAGUCCUUGAGAAGGGGUUGAUUCUAGAAAGGCCUCAUAGCGUCCUGCUUGGUUUUCAAAAAGACAUAUUACCCAAAGAGACCAUUGACAGUAAAGGUAAGUGAAGUUUACUCUUACUUACAUGUCUUGGUUCCUAGAAUCAUGUGUUUUUACCAGUUAGAGAUGAAAGACCAUAGAAUGUUCACUGACUAAGUUGUAAACACCACUUUUGAGGCUGCUACCUAAUCUGUUGAGAGCAUUGUUUACAAGCUACAGCCUCAGUUCACCCUUUAAAACUAUGUCAUUAUUCUAUCUGAUUGGAAACUUCUGGGUGAUAUGGUACAUAAGAGGAAAAGUGAGUUCCAUGUUCCUGUGUAAAACAUCACUGUUUAUUUUCUGGAAUGUGAAUCCUUUGGUGUUUUGUGACAUUUUUCAGGAUCAUGAAUCAGUGGAUUAUAAACUGAAAUAUAUACACAACUUAAAUGCUAAGAGUUAUGUUUUAUUCAGUGGAUAAAACUGAGGACUGAAGCCUGGGAGGCAACAUCUCAAGUACCCUGAGAAAACCUCUCCAGGGAGGCAAGGGGGGAGACAGGAUAUAUGAGUUUUGCAACAAAGGACAGUUAGUAGGAACAAAGUAUCAUUGUUAAUAACAGAAAACUAGAUAUCUCAUAUUAAGUAAUUUAGCACUUUUUUAUGUAUAUGAAGAUGCAAAGGCCUGGGCUCACUGAAAUCAUUCCUUUGAUGUGCACCUCAGCUAUCUGGGGCCUGUAUCUUAUGCUUUCAGAUCCUGAGUUUCCUAAGGGUGCACCAUUGGGAGUGGGCUGCGCUCUGAUGUCUGCUAGCGGGCACAUAUUUGUUGCCUUCCUGAAUUCCCUCAGGAGGUGGCUGCAACUGCUGAUGACUCUGACAUUUUUUGUUUACUGAUAUUUAAGGCAAUAUUUUAUUUUUCAGAAUAUUAUGCCUUAAAUUGUAGUGGUCUCUGAGGCUCUAUUGUCAAAAAAAGGCAAACCCAUUUAUCCUAGAUGCUGUCCAGAAAAAUCCCUGCUUCUGUUACAAAUUAGCAUGUCCACUAUAAUAAACUUUUCCCUAUGAUUCAUCCAUUCAUGAACCCAAUGCAUAUGCACUGGGGAUGGGCAGUGAAAGAAACUGGCUGAUAUUGAUUUCUGUCAUUCCAUCUAUUUUUCUUUUUUUGCUUUUUUAAAGCCCACGUUCAUGGCAUAUGGAGGUUCCCAGGCUAGGGGUGAAGUGGAACUGUAGCUGCUAGCCUAUACCACAGCCACAGUAAUGCAGAAUCCAAGCCACAUCUGUGACCUACUUCACACCUCACAGCAAUGCCAGAUCCUUAAACCACUGAGCAAGGCCAGGGAUAGAACCUGAGGCCUCAGUGAUGCCAAUCAGAUUUGUUAACCAAUGAGCCAUAAUGGGAAUGCCUUUUUUUUUUUUUUUUUUUUUAAGUUAGGAUUUCUCUGAUGAACUCAAGUAUGCAAUAUAGGACCAAACACCUUCGCAAUUCAUGCACACUACUGAAAAUUUCUGCUCGUUUCUUCUGUAGAAUUUCUUGUCCUUUAUUUUUCAAUCAUUGUACCUGAUCACAGGCCUCAACAACUUGGCACAGACUGGUAUUCCAUGUAAAUUCUAAUCAUGCACAAGUUUUCUAUCCACACAUAGUAGAUAACCAGGUAUAUGGUUUACCUUCUAAGCCCUGGGAGGGUUUCUCCUCCCUGCUCUCUUUCAGGGCCACCUCUGGGAGAGUUCUACAGCAGUCACCUAUAGUCAACCUGCACCCAAAUGUCCCAACACCUGUUCUCUGAACCAAGCCUGGUAUUAUUGGUCUCAGUCAGCUGGUAUUAACUCUGCCUGUUCUCACCUGCCAUGCAACCUUAGAUGUGAGCUGGAGACGUGUUUUUGUUUUUCUUUUUUUUUAUUUUUUAAGUGAUGAGACACAUAAGAUGCAUUGAUUUGAUGAUUUAUUACUUAUUUUGGUACUAACAUGUCCUAGACAACUAGACCCGUUACAAAUUUCAUUGAUUUAGUGUGUCAACUUUUUUUAUGAUUUAUUACUCAUCCUCGGAAAUGCCUAUGCUUUACCAAGAUUGUCAAUGUUCUUAUACACUUAUAUGAUUUAAUUAACAUGAUGUCAUCAGUUUAAAGAAAUAAUGCACUAUUAAACAAAGUGUAGAGAUACUAUACAUGCCUUUGACCUAUAUUAUAAUUGUGAGCAAGAGAGUUAAUAUAACUCUGGGACAAGAAUGAAAUAUAAUCUGUUUAUAGUUUAUCCUACAUCAGAGAUAACUGCUUCAUCCAUUUCUUCAAAGAGAUGAAAAAAAAUACAUUAUCUGGGUCAAAAGUUAUAUACCAUAUGCCCAGUGUCAUGUUACUAUGCCCCAGGAAAGAUAUAAUUGACUAGCACUCAGUUGAGUUUUCGGUAGUUCACCAGGGAGACUGAUGGCUCAGGCAAAGGGCAAUAAAAAAUGCCAUAAUUUCCAUCUGGGCCCAGUGUCCAUAUGACUUUUGCAGUGGUUGUAUUUGUGAAUUAAAGAAGACUAUGAUGAGUAUCAAUAUCACUACACAUUUUCAUUCUUUCAGGAUAGCUAUGAUUUCAACCAUUUCCCUUGGGAUGUAGCAUUGCUCUAGCCUUACUGUUUUCAUAGCACCAGGGGCCAGUUUCAACAGCUUCUAUUCAGCUUUCCCAAAUAUGACAGCUCUUACCUCAUGGAAUGUGGGUAUUCUUCAAGCCACCAAAUACAUUUAUAAAAUUAUUAAUUUUGAGAUCAGGUAAAUCACUACUCUGUGGUCCCAUGGACACAGUGGACCUGCUAUGAGCCAGACCUGGAGUAGGAUACUAUUUUUUGAAACACCUUCACAAACAGCACAGCUAUAAAAAUCUCCAAGUAUCAAAUGUCAAAUUGGAUCUCUGUCUGUUUGCCCAUAAAUAUCUAGUAUCUCCCUUUCCCUAGUAUACAGUUAUCAGAAUAAAUGACCAUAUGCCUCAUUGGGAAAGAGCAUUGAUAAUCAUUAGCAUAUAAACUUGCCCUGAUGCUGAAGGUGCUUUCCUCAUGUAAACUGCCUUGUCCUUCAGUAAAUGGGUUCUGGAUUUUAAAACUGACACAUGUUUGGAAACUGUGCAGGAAAUUAUAAUGCUUUAUUGGGUUGGCUGCCCUUCACAUCCUAAUCAUCCAUGCUCCAUUUCUUUUGAUUGCAUAAAUGGAGAAAUACUCUUAAAGGUCAUCUGUAUAUCUUGUCCUUAGGGAUGCUGUGCUCUAUUAACAAUCUCCCUGGUUCUCUAUCUGGCUCCUGUUUCCACUCUUAUUUUUCUCUGACUUCGUUCAAUAAUUAUGCUCAUUACUUUUUCUAACAGAUGAGUUCUUCUGAGAUCUUAUUAUCCUCGUUGCUAUCACAACUCUCAUCACUCAUGACCUAUGUAGGGAGUCACCAUUGAUCCAAUAAUGCUGGUAACCUCUCACAAUUCUUUUCUUAUCAUAUUGAUAAGUAUGGACUUUGGGAGGGGAAAAUAGUUGGACUUGCCUAUUAUAUCCACAUUAGCCUGAUUUCACAGGGUCUUUUUAUUUUGACUUCUUCUGCCCAACAUGGAAUUUCUGGCAUUGCUAUUGCCCUUUGCCUGGGCCAUCACUUUUCCCAAUUUCUAAAGACACCCAAGAAUUAGUCCUGUACUCUAAGGCCUUUGUUAGAGUAUGACAUCUAUAAUCAGGAAUAGUGCUCCCACACUGAUCAUUUCUUCAAAUUUCUAUCCAACAAUUCUUGGUCUAAUCGCCUUAGGACUCUGUCCCAUAAUCAUGUUUGUAGCUCCUGAGUACACACUGAGUCGCUCCUACAUUUAAUUGAAGUACAAUCCCUUUCAUCUCUCAGUGGGAGCACUUGUUAGUAACAUCCUCCUGGAUACUAUAUAUUGAGACAUCUUUAUUUAUUGGUCUAAUGGAAAUGAGGAAGUUUGGGACACAUGUCAAGGAAGCACACAUCAUCUAAGAAGGCAGAAAUCACUAUUAUCUUCAAGCAAGGGGCAAGCACUAUCCUUUACUAUGAAGGGCCAUUUCUGUAGGUCCAGAGGAUUAAAAACUAUCUGGAGACUCAGGAGUUCUGACCUAGAUAUCUCCAUCUUAUGUUUCGUCAUCCCUUUUUCUUUCCAAUCAUGGCCUUGCCUAGGACAUAGCACUACAGAAUACAUUUUCUGUAUUUCAGUUAUCCCUCUAAUGAAUUAUUAGAUUUUGAUGUUAGCUUAUAUAGCCUCUCAAUGUGGAGAGGAUUGUACUUAAGUUGAUUUAAAUUAGUGAGUGAUCACUUUAAGCCCUUAAUUAUCCUCUUUUUCUCCAAUGUAUUAAUGACCUCAACAAGAGCUAUCACAUUCCAUAGUCCUUAUAGUUACUAGUUCUCCUGAAUUUCUCAAAUGGCUGAGAUCUGGGACAUUUUACCAACCACUGCUUCCCUCCUCUGAUGACCAGAAUCCCAUUCCAGUUUAUUGUCAUGGAAAUUUUAAUGAUUGCAUUAUUACUACAUAUCAGGGACUUGCAGUACCCAGAUGUACCACCAGUGAUGGGGUCCUCACUGCCAGCUGGCUAGAAAAUGCUUUGGUUCCAAAAAUUUCAUUUCAGCAUCUGCUUUUUUGGACUAUAAUUUGCACCAACUAACAUAGAUAAGGUUCUCUGGGAAACAGACUCUUAGACAGUUAUUCAAAUGAAGGCAGUUUAUUGAGACGGAUUCAUUGAAACAACACCUGUCUGAGCAUUUGAGAAGUAAGAUUAGGCAGAGAUCUCUGGCAUGGCCUUUCAGACUGGGUUGCCAGAUUU
rnacentral:lncRNA from 1 species